CACACAUUUGUCAAAAAUGUGACAUUUCAUGAAAUGUGUUCAGUGGACAGAGGCUAUAAGUCUAGGCAUCACAAAUAGUUUGCUCUACCUAGUUGAUUUAGAAUAUCAUAAAUUCUAGAGUCCGGAAGAAACUUCUUCGGGACUAGUAAGAGUGGGCUAUUAUAUUCUGAGACUGACGGUUCGACUAUUUUAUCGUCUAUUAAUUUUUGUACUUGGGCUUUAAUUUCUUGUACUUGGCUAUGAGGUCUCCUAUAAUUUUUUAUAUAUUCGGGCGCAUCAUCCUUCAGUCUAAGCUUUUGUUUGUAAAAAUUAUUUGUUGUUAUUGAAAUCUAUGCCUAUUAUCCCAUCACUAGGUAUUGGGAAAUUUUGAUCGACUAAAUGAAAGUUAUGCGGAA